GACGAACGCUGGCGGCGUGCUUAACACAUGCAAGUCGAACGGAAAGGCCCUGCUUUUUUGGUGUGCUCGAUUGGCGAACGGGUGAGUAACACGUGAGUAACCUGCCCUUCACUUUGGGAUAACUUCAGGAAACUGGGGCUAAUACCGGAUAGGAGCUCCUGCUGCAUUGUGGGGGGUGGAAAGUUUCGGCGGUUGGGGAUGGACUCGCGGCUUAUCAGCUUGUUGGUGGGGUAGUGGCUUACCAAGGCUUUGACGGGUAGCCGGCCUGAGAGGGUGACCGGCCACAUUGGGACUGAGAUACGGACCAGACUCCUACGGGAGGCAGCAGUGGGGAAUAUUGCACAAUGGGCGGACGUCUGAUGAAGAAACGCCGCGUGCGGGAUGACGGCCUUCGGGUUGUAAAACGCUUUCGCCUGUGACGAAGCGUGAGUGACGGUAAUGGGUAAAGAAGCACCGGCUAACUACGUG
rnacentral:rRNA from 1 species